rnacentral:rRNA from 1 species
UACGUAGGGUCCGAGCGUUGUCCAGAGUUACUGGGCGUAAAGGGCGCGCAGGCGGCGGUGCUGGCCCGGCGUGAAAGCCCCCGGCUCAACCGGGGAGGGUCGUCGGGGACCGCACCGCUUGAGGGCGGUAGGGGCCGGUGGAAUGCCUGGUGUAGUGGUGAAAUGCGUAGAGAUCAGGCAGAACACCUGGGGCGAAGGCGGCCGGCUGGGCCGUCCCUGACGCUGAGGCGCGAAGGCGUGGGGAGCGAACGGG